GCAACUGUUGCACACCGUUCUCGGAGUGGUGGGGCUAAUUAGAGGGACCGCCGCCGCUGAGGCGGAGGAAGGAGGGGGCUACGGCAGGUCAGUAUGCCCCGAAACCCUCGGGCUACACGCGGGCUGCAAUGGUAAGGACAGCGAGUUCCGAUUCCGAAAGGAGGAGGCAAUCUCUCAAACCUUACCUCAGUUAUGAUUGAGGGCUGAAACUCGCCCUCAUGAAUAUGGAAUCCCUAGUAACCGCGUGUCACCAUCGCGCGGUGAAUACGUCCCUGCUCCUUGCACAA
rnacentral:rRNA from 1 species